rnacentral:lncRNA from 1 species
GCUAAAACUGUACCUUUUAGGUGUGACCUAGGACUCUUUAGGCACAGAGAGAAUGAUGUUAACAAAACCAUCAAUUAGACUUUAAUGCAUUUUUAAGAAACAAACUAUGAUGUCUCUUUUUGCAAAACUGUGUGAGUGUGGGUGAUUGGGAUUUCUGCUUCUCAUAAUAUUUAAUGUAUUCAGGUAAUAAUGUAUUUUGCCUUGU